UUAACUUCUUGGGUCGCAAGGUUCAGAAGGGCAAAAGCGGAGAAACGUUUCCUGCACCGUUACAUAAACUAACCUCCCCUUUCCCUUCUCCCGUCGCGCUCGUCGUCCAUGGAAGACGAUGUCCUCCAUAGGGUUUUGGAAGGGGGAGGCAGAGACUACUACUACUCCUCCACCUCCCCCCCAUCCCCAACCUCGUCCGCCACCUCCUCUUCCAUCCUUCAAUCCCUACCUCUCCACGUCCCCUUCGAUCAUGGAUAUUAUCUGCUGGUGAAGGCCAUUCAGGAGCUCCGCGAGAAGAAGGAGGGGCAUGUCGUCACGGUUGGAAUCGGUGGCCCCAGCGGAUCCGGCAAAACCAGCUUAGCGGAGAAGGUGGCAUCGGUCCUCGGUUGUUGCGUUGUCAUCUCUAUGGAGAACUACCGCAAUGGAGCUGAUGAUGGGAAUGACUUGGAUUCCAUAGACUUUGAUGCCCUCGUGCGCAACCUCCAUGAUUUGGUAAAUGGCAAGGAAACCCUGAUGCCAUUAUUUGACUUCCAAGAGAAAAGACGGAGUGGUUCGAAACUAUUGAAGAUUUCUUUGUCCGGGGUGGUCAUUGUGGAUGGUGCCUAUGCUCUCCAUUCAACACUACGAUCUUUGCUUGAUAUCAGGGUUGCUGUGGUUGGCGGUGUCCAUUUUAGCCUCCUUUCUAAGGUUCGACAUGACAUUGGAGAUUCUUGUUCGUUAGACUACCUCAUUGAUAGCAUAUUCCCUUUGUUCAGGAAACACAUCGAGCCGGACCUUCAUCAUGCCCAGAUUAGAAUCAACAACAGCUUUGUAUCAUCUUUCAGAGAGCCUUACUAUAAAUUGAAAUGCAAAAGUGAGUCUCCGGAUGGACACACAACUUACUCAUUUGAUGGAAGUAAAGCAGAAACCGAGAACUAUAUUGAGAUGUACCUUCGGCCUCCAUUUGCAUCUGAAGAAGCAAAGAUAAAUGAUUGGAUAAAGGUUAGACAGAGUGGUAUCAGAUACUAUCUGUCACUAGGUGAUCAGAGAAUUGUUGACAAGAACUUCAUCAUUCGACCAAAAGCUGAAUUCGAGGUUGGAAGGACAACGCUAGGUGGUUUGCUUGCUUUAGGUUACAAUGUUGUAGUUAGUUACAAGCGGGCAUCUACAUCAGUCAAUAAUGGUCAAAUUUUGAUAGUAAUGGAGAGCAUUGACACUCUCAAUGAGACAUUCUUGGUGUUGAGGGGUACAAGCAGAAAGGUCAUUGGUGUAGAAGCUUCAAGACUGGGUAUAAAGGGGCCAUGGAUCACCAAGUCCUAUUUGGAAAUGAUUCUAGAAAGUAAAGGUGUACCACGUGUUAAUACACCACCACCUUUGUCUAGCACACUUUUAACUGGAAGUCAAGAAAGGACAAUUGCUGCGCCCAGACCAAUACGCUUGUCUACCACUAUUGCUCCGAAACCUGAGGAUGUUACACAGCCAUGGACCAGGUCUCCAACAAAGUCCGAUAUGGACCCUGUAGUAACAUGGAAUUUCAUUUCAGAUUCUUCUGCUUUCAGGGGUAACCUCCAGCUUGCUCCAUUGCCCGAUUCAUAUGACUUGGAUAGGGGUUUGCUUCUUUCUGUUCAGGCAAUCCAGGCAUUGUUGGAGAACAAGGGUUUUCCAGUUAUUGUAGGAAUUGGAGGUCCCAGUGGAUCGGGCAAAACAAGCCUGGCUCAAAAAAUGGCGAAUAUAGUUGGCUGUGAAGUAAUCUCUUUAGAAAGUUACUACAAGUGUGAACAAGUGAAGGACUUUAAGUAUGAUGAGUUUAACUCCUUGGAUUUAUCUUUGCUGUCCAAGAACAUUAAUGACUUGAGAAAUUGUCAUAAGGCGAAAGUUCCUUGCUUUGAUUUUGAGAAUUGUAGUCGAAAUGGAUUCAAGGAGCUUCAAGUUUCUGAGGAUUGUGGGGUGGUGAUUUUUGAAGGGGUGUAUGCAUUACACCCUGAUAUACGGAAAUCACUCGACUUAUGGAUUGCUGUUGUGGGUGGAGUACAUUCACAUCUUAUUGCAAGAGUUCAAAGGGACAAGAGUCGUGUUGGCUGCUUUAUAUCUCAGGAUGAAAUUAUGACAACAGUAUUUCCUAUGUUUCAGCAGCAUAUUGAACCACAUCUUGUACAUGCACAUCUCAAAAUUCGAAAUGAUUUUGAUCCUGUACUUUCUCCUGAAAGUUCACUUUUUGUACUGAAAAGCAAUAAGCAGGUGACAUACCAAGAUAUAUUGAAGGUACUUGACCCUGGCAAAGUUUGCAGCUCUGUGCAGAAUUUCAUUGAUAUAUAUUUAAGGCUUCCUGGGGCGCCUUCAAAUGGGCAGUUAGCAGAAAGUGAGUGCAUACGUGUCAGAAUAUGUGAAGGAAGAUUUGCAUUAUUAAUACGGGAGCCAAUAAGGGAAGGAAACUUUAUUAUACAACCAAAAGUGGAUUUUGAUAUCAGUGUUACUACUGUUGCAGGUCUUCUUAAACUUGGUUAUCAGGCUGUUGCAUAUAUUGAAGCUUCUGCAUUAAUUUAUCAAGAUAAAAAGAUACUUAUUGAGGUUGAUCAUCUACAAGCUGCUCCCAACCCUUUCCUUCAAAUAAAAGGAACAAAUAAGGAUGUAGUUGCAGCUGCUGCUUCAACUCUUAGUUUGGAUGGUUCAUACACGACCAAGAGUUAUCUUCAAAUUAUUCUUGAAAGUUUGCCAGCUUUUGAGAAAAAUUCCUCUGGAAUUCAUAAUCAACAAGCCGCUAGACUCCAGGAACUUGUGGAGUUCAUUCAAUCUCAGAAAACAUUUUGAAGAAAACCAUGCCAUGCACCUCAAAGCCUAUAAGUUUCAUUCUUUUUCCUGCUUCCUACCUCAUGCACUGCCAUGUUUCCAACACAAACACCACUGCAUCGAUCAUACGACAAGUCUACCUACUGGGAAAAAAUUCAAAAUCAUAAGACAAGCAGGAAAUUUGAGUUCAGAAUCUUCUCCAAACAAAGGAAUUUCAUCUACAGAGUGCGUAAUUGAAGAUCUACAAUCUAGGAUCAAGAAGCUAGAGAGGUGGAAUACGGUCAAUUUGGUUUUCUGGACCUUUCUGUUUUCUGCUUUUGUUGGUUAUUCGCUAUACCAAAGGAAGCGUCACUGAUCAGGAUUACUGACCAAACUGCCCACACAGAAUUUACAUGAUCUACAAACACCUUUGCAUCUGUGAGGACCUCAGAUCCUAAGAGGUGCUAGAGGAUCAUUGUAGUAAUGGACUUUUAAGGUUCUUUUGCUGAACUUAAUCUUAAAUUUUCAUGUGUCUUCAAUUAUGCUCUUUUUACAGGUGUUGAGGGCGCUUGCUAACUUGAAGGUAACACGUGGAGGAUGAAUAUGACUCCUAUAAUCUAGAUUGGCUUUCUUUCAAAUAGCGUUUAUGCUUUCUCAACAUGAUUGUAUUUGUGAUAUUCUUCCGGCACUCACCCUGCUUAUCACAAUCCUGAGAGAGUUUUCAUUGACAGAAUUAAGCACCCAGGAUACCGAAUAUUUAACAACCCAUUUAUCAACUACAGAUUUGCAGAGACAACAUUCUUAGUGCCAGAAAGUAUAUUUUGUUGCAGAUUUGACAUUAAAGGAGUUGUUAUUCAUAGAAAAUGUUACUGUUUACAAAUUUUUAUUUAGGUUUUGAAAUUUCAAACUCAUGACUAUAGCUAUUCUGCAGACCAGGCUCCUGGGGUUUUGUAACAUGGAAGGAACAAUCUUAGACAUUAAUUCUUAGAAAAUAACCAUUUUUCUUUUGUGCAAUGCUAUUGCCAAA